rnacentral:sRNA from 1 species
CUUUAAAAAUCUGGAACAAGCUGAAAAUUGAAACAAUAAACGCGUAAGCGUUUAUGAGUCUCUCUAAAUUAUCACACCUGAAGACAUCUUCGG